rfam:Marine metagenome ctg_1101668204186, whole genome shotgun sequence.
AAUAACCAAAAAUUACUCUUGGAUCUAAAGUUGGAUUAACAAGUUUGACUUCACCACCACCAGGUGCCCAAGUAUCAUAUGCACCGCCAAUGAAACACCAGUUCACUGACCAUGCCAAUGCACCUACACCUAGAAUUAUCAAAUGAUAACCAAGAAUAUUGGUCAUUUGAUUUUUAUCUCUCCA